AUGGCCAUCAUGUCCUGGUGGUGUGAAAUGGGUAAAUUGAGAUUACAACCUCAAUAAUGUGGUUUCUCUCCAGCAGCUCCCACCCAACCCAGAACUGCACGAUGUCACGGUGCACCUACGCUGCUGGAAGAGAAAAUGUUAGGCAUGCGACACCUCAAUGCCUUUAAUUAAAACUUGAAAUUUGAGCCACUAAAUUCUGCCAAAAUAUAUACACCAUGCAUGGAAUUAAUAACUAAGACACAUCGGUUCUCACCUCUUACUGUACUUAAAAACACUCCAUCGGUUACCAAAAUGUUCUGCGAUGGCCGGGAAUCAAAAAGGUCAACUGCUUGGAAGGCAGCUAUGCUCACCACUAUACCACCAUCGCACACGGAAUGGGGGGAUUCCUCUGUAAAUCAUGGACUAAGGAAAAGGGGAGUCAAAGAGGAGGAUGCCCCUGCGUCCUCAGUAAAGACAUCAAAGACUGAGUAAACUACACCUGGUUGGUCAUCGCAAAAAGGGUUUGCGAUGGCCGGGAAUCGAACCCGGGUCAACUGCUUGGAAGGCAGCUAUGCUCACCACUAUACCACCAUCGCAUGGAAAAUGCUCGAGUUCUUCUGUAAAUCAUUGACUGAGGAAGAGGAGAGGAGUAGAGGGGACGAGGAGGUGCUAUAGUCAGGAGGAGGAGACAGAGGAGGCCCCUGCGUCUACGGUAAAGACAUCACAGACGUCUGAACUCCAGCGGGUUGUAUUUACCGGGGACCGCUCCCGCGUGAAGAGUUUUUAACAGAGCUCGAAUCCUGUAAGAAAUCCUGCCUUCUUGAUCAACUUCUUGUUGUGGUGCGACGUCACCAUAAACGAUUGUUUCUGCUUGAUGCCCUGCUGCGCGUUCAGUGAGAAGUGAGCCGUGAGAAGAAAAUAAAACCAUCACCAUGUGUGGGUAAGAUCCAGCAACCAACCAUAUGGCUUGAUCGACUGGUUUUGAGGUCAAAUAUUUAGAUUUAUGGAAAUUUUGUGAGCCUUUUUCCCCCUCGCCCCACUGAGAUCCUGCUGUCCAGUGUCCAGCUGUGGACGGACCGUAGAGGGCCCAGGACGAUGAGUAGUGGUCACAAGGAGAUGUGGCUUCAUAUCAGCGGGGUCACAAGCCCAAAAAAGACGGGUCGAUCCUAUAAACAGCGCGUGGAGGUGAAUCGAUGUGUAUUCUGGUCAUUGUGUGCAGACUGGUGGAGCCACGUAGUCAGAAAAGCAUCUGUCCACCAGAGGGCAGCCUUGUCUUCCUUUGAAUGUGGCUUCUUGCUGCAGAUAGAGGGCAGACACUGAUGUAAACGUUAAUUUAUGAGUUGAAUCCAUCAUGAGGACAUAUUUAAGUCAGACAACGUGAGAGAGACAUCUCUAUAUGUUUGACAACACACACACACACAAUGUGCAAGGCUUGCUACACAAACGCCCUCAGAAAGGGUUGAAAACACUUUAUACUGGAGGUUCAGAAAGUGAAAAUGGUUAAAUGCACUUAUUGUAAGUGGCUUUGGAUAAAAAUGUCUCCUAAAUGACAUGUAAUGUAAUGUAAUAAAAAAAACGCUUUUGAGGCUUAAAUUAAUUCACACUUCCUGCUCUUUUGCUUGCUCGAUAAUCCCUGGUAGACAAGUCAGUUCAACACAACUUCCUUUUGAAUAUUAUUUUAUUAUAUUGUCAUGGCAUUGUAUUGUAAAUCUCUCUCUCCCACCAAGAGGUCCGGCAGAGGGUGUAAGGCCAGAGGGUGCUCUGUGAUCUGCAUCAUGCUUAUGGAUGCUUGACAGCAGUAGCAGCACUACUUGCUGAGGACAUAAACAACCGUUAAGUGAUGUGUGCACUUGGCUGUAAUGUCGUAUGCCUGUGCAGGUAUAGAUCGGAGCUUUGCGCCGCUGAGUAAAAAACUGUCCAAUCAGCUGUAGAUUAGCAAAGCUCCUGCUGGCUAAAAGCCUCCUAUGCAACUCAAAAGGCCACAACUUUUUACGGGUUUCAUUUUGGUUUAAUCAUUUUUUAUCUUCAUGGGAAGAACGUAUCUAUAAUUAAGGUUGAAGAAAGUUACAACAGUGAAAACGAUGACAGUGCUGCAGUGUUAAUCUGGGAAGGAACCAGAGGGUCGGCGCUAGGCGUCCUUAACGAGGCCGUGGCUCCAUCAGUGGUAACCAAGCGACGGCCAUUAGCUAGCAAGCAGGCGCACAAUAAGGUGCGCUAUAAUGCCAGCAUCUUUCAGAAAGAACUUCACCUAACUAACCAUCUGUUGGUCAGGUUAGUCAAGUUCUCUUACAUCUGACAUUUCCCCUUCGACGUGUAUUAAAAAUGCAAAGCAAGUUUUUGUAAUAUCUGUUAAUAUGCUGAGUGCUUUUUCACAUAACUGUAAUAAAGCAGGAGGAGUGAACAUGCCUUUCAAUAAACAUUUGAACAUUUUUAACAACAUUUGAACCCAAACAAAGUCCCAAACCCUUCUUUGCUUUUAACUUGCUGUUGCACAGAGUGCCUGUUUUUAUUGUUCUGAUAACAUUACUUCAAAAUAAAAG
ensembl:lncRNA